rnacentral:rRNA from 1 species
AUUGAACGCUGGCGGCAGGCUUAACACAUGCAAGUCGAGCGGGGGAAGGUAGCUUGCUACCGGACCUAGCGGCGGACGGGUGAGUAAUGCUUAGGAAUCUGCCUAUUAGUGGGGGACAACAUCUCGAAAGGGAUGCUAAUACCGCAUACGUCCUACGGGAGAAAGCAGGGGAUCUUCGGACCUUGCGCUAAUAGAUGAGCCUAAGUCGGAUUAGCUAGUUGGUGGGGUAAAGGCCUACCAAGGCGACGAUCUGUAGCGGGUCUGGGAGGAUGAUCCGCCACACUGGGACUGAGACACGGCCCAGACUCCUAAGGGAGGCAGAAGUGGGGAAUAUUGGACAAUGGGGGAACCCUGAUCCAGCCAUGCCGCGUGUGUGAAGAAGGCCUUAUGGUUGUAAAGCACUUUAAGCGAGGAGGAGGCUACUUUAGUUAAUACCUAGAGAUAGUGGACGUUACUCGCAGAAUAAGCACCGGCUAACUCUGUGCCAGCCGCCGCCGUAA